rnacentral:rRNA from 1 species
AACGAACGCUGGCGGCAUGCCUAACACAUGCAAGUCGAACGAAGGCUUCGGCCUUAGUGGCGCACGGGUGAGUAACACGUGGGAACCUGCCUUUCGGUUCGGAAUAACGUCUGGAAACGGACGCUAACACCGGAUACGUCCUUCGGGAGAAAGUUUACGCCGAGAGAGGGGCCCGCGUCGGAUUAGGUAGUUGGUGAGGUAAUGGCUCACCAAGCCUGCGAUCCGUAGCUGGUCUGAGAGGAUGAUCAGCCACACUGGGGCUGAGACACGGCCCAGACUCCUACGGGAGGCAGCAGUGGGGAAUAUUGGACAAUGGGCGCAAGCCUGAUCCAGCAAUGCCGCGUGAGUGAUGAAGGCCUUCGGGUUGUAAAGCUCUUUUGGCGGGGACGAUGAUGACGGUACCCGCAGAAUAAGCCCCGGCUAACUUCGUGCCAGCAGCCGCGGUAAAAC